rfam:Trichobilharzia regenti genome assembly, scaffold: TRE_scaffold0082764
GUACUGUUGAAGAGUCCCAGACUAGGACGAGACAACUGUCCAGUAC